rnacentral:rRNA from 1 species
UGGGAAUAUUGCACAAUGGGCGGAAGCCUGAUGCAGCAACGCCGCGUGCGGGAUGACGGCCUUCGGGUUGUAAACCGCUUUCGCCUGUGACGAAGCGUGUGUGACGGUAAUGGGUAAAGAAGCACCGGCUAACUACGUGCCAGCAGCCGCGGUGAUACGUAGGGUGCGAGCGUUGUCCGGAUUUAUUGGGCGUAAAGGGCUCGUAGGUGGUUGAUCGCGUCGGAAGUGUAAUCUUGGGGCUUAACCCUGAGCGUGCUUUCGAUACGGGUUGACUUGAGGAAGGUAGGGGAGAAUGGAAUUCCUGGUGGAGCGGUGGAAUGCGCAGAUAUCAGGAGGAACACCAGUGGCGAAGGCGGUUCUCUGGGCCUUUCCUGACGCUGAGGAGCGAAAGCGUGGGGAGCGAACAGGCUUAGAUACCCUGGUAGUCCACGCUGUAAACGGUGGGUACUAGGUGUGGGGUCCAUUCCACGGGUUCCGUGCCGUAGCUAACGCUUUAAGUACCCCGCCUGGGGAGUACGGCCGCAAGGCUA